rnacentral:rRNA from 1 species
GUCGGUUAGUCGGCACGAGCGCACCCUAUCGCUAGUUACAGCAUUAAGUUGGGGACUCUAGCGAGACUGCCGGUGAUAAACCGGAGGAAGGUGGGGACGACGUCAAGUCCUCAUGGCCCUUAUGGCUGGGGCUACACACGUGCUACAAUGGCAUCUACAGAGGGCAGCAAAGCCGCGAGGUGGAGCAAAUCCCAUAAAAGAUGCCUCAGUUCGGAUUGGAGUCUGCAACUCGACUCCAUGAAGCUGGAAUCACUAGUAAUCGCGGAUCAGCAUGCCGCGGUGAAUACGUUCCCGGGUCUUGUACACACCGCCCGUCACACCAUGGGAGUUGACCGUGCCCGAAGUCGUGACCCCAACCAUUUAUGGAGGGGAGCGCCUACGGUGAGGUCGGCAACUGGGGUGAAGUCGUAACAAGGUAGCCGUAGGGGAACCUGUGGCUGGAUCACCUCCUUU